CUCAGGGAGGUAGUGACAGGAAAUAACAACACUGGAAAUUUUAUUUCUAGUGAUUGGAAUGAUGGGAAUUUAAACCCCUUUCAGAGUAACAAUUGGAGGGCAAGUCUGGUGCCAGCAGCCGCGGUAAUUCCAGCUCCAAUAGCGUAUAUUAAAGUUGUUGCAGUUAAAAAGCUCGUAGUUGGAUGUCUGCUGGAAGCAAUCAGUCCGCCCUAUUUGUAGGGUGUGCACUUGAUGAAUUCUGGCAUUUUUGUCCCAAUGAUGUAACGGGACGGUGGUAUUCGGUGAAAGCCGAGUAUCCUGUUUUCCGAUUAUUGGGAUACUGUUACUUUGAGAAAAUUAGAGUGUUUGAAGCAGGCUAAUUGCCUUGAAUACUGCAGCAUGGAAUAACAAUAUAGGAUUUCGGCUCUAUUUUGUUGGUUUCUAGGACUGAAAUAAUGAUUAAUAGGGACAGUUGGGGGCAUUCGUAUUUAACUGUCAGAGGUGAAAUUCUUAGAUUUGUUAAAGACGAACUACUGCGAAAGCAUUUGCCAAAGAUGUUUUCAUUAAUCAAGAACGAAAGUUAGGGGCUCGAAGACGAUCAGAUACCGUCGUAGUCUUAACCAUAAACUAUGCCGACUAGAGAUAGGAAAAUGUCAUUUUGCUGACUU
rnacentral:rRNA from 1 species